rnacentral:rRNA from 1 species
GACGAACGCUGGCGGCGUGCUUAACACAUGCAAGUCGAGCGGUAAGGCCCUUUCGGGGGUACGACGAGCGGCGAACGGGUGAGUAACACGUGGGUGACCUGCCCUCAGCUCUGGGAUAAGCCUGGGAAACCGGGUCUAAUACCGGAUAUGACUCCAUGACGCAUGUUGUGGGGUGGAAAGCCUUGUGCGGCUGAGGAUGGGCCCGCGGCCUAUCAGCUUGUUGGUGGGGGAUGGCCUACCAAGGCGACGACGGGUAGCCGGCCUGAGAGGGCGACCGGCCACACUGGGACUGAGACACGGCCCAGACUCCUACGGGAGGCAGCAGUGGGGAAUCUUGCGCAAUGGGCGAAAGCCUGACGCAGCGACGCCGCGUGAGGGAUGACGGCCUGGUUGUAACGU